GACGAACGCUGGCGGCGUGCCUAAUAAAUGCAAGUCGAACGCAGUGGGGACGGGUGAGUAACACGUGGGUAACCUCCCAUCAGAGGGGAUAACACUUGGAAACAGGUGCUAAACAGAUACUGCAGGAUGCACCCGCGGUGCAUUAGCUAGUUGGUGAGGUAACGGCUAACCAAGGCCACGAUGCAUAGCCGACUUGAAAGGGUGAUCAGCCACACUGGGACUGAGGCACGGCCCAGACUCCUGCGGGAGGCAGCAGUAGGGAAUCUUCGGCAAUGGACGUAAGUCUAACCGAGCAACGCCGCGUGAGUGAAGAAGGUUUUCGGAUCGUAAAACUCUGUUGUUAGAGAAGCGGUAUCUAACCAGAAAGCCACGGCUGACUACGUUCCAGCAGCCGCGGUAAUAC
rnacentral:rRNA from 1 species